rnacentral:rRNA from 1 species
CGGCAGCGGACCUUCGGGUGCCGGCGAGUGGCGAACGGGUGAGUAAUACAUCGGAACGUACCCAGUAGCGGGGGAUAGCCCGGCGAAAGCCGGAUUAAUACCGCAUACGCCCUACGGGGGAAAGGGGGGGAUCUUCGGACCUCUCACUAUUGGAGCGGCCGAUGGCUGAUUAGCUAGUUGGUGGGGUAAAGGCCUACCAAGGCGACGAUCAGUAGCUGGUCUGAGAGGACGACCAGCCACACUGGGACUGAGACACGGCCCAGACUCCUACGGGAGGCAGCAGUGGGGAAUUUUGGACAAUGGGCGAAAGCCUGAUCCAGCAAUGCCGCGUGUGCGAAGAAGGCCUUCGGGUUGUAAAGCACUUUUGUCAGGAAAGAAAGGGUCUGGGCUAAUACCCCGGGCCAUUGACGGUACCUGAAGAAUAAGCACCGGCUAACUACGUGCCAGCA